rnacentral:rRNA from 1 species
GAUGAACGCUGGCGGCAUGCCUAAUACAUGCAAGUCGAACGAGCAGACGAGGAGCUGUCUCCUCUGACUUUAUCGGCGGACGGGUGAUUAACACGUGGAUAACCUAACUAUAAGACUGGGAUAACUUCGGGAAACCAUGUCUACUACCGGAUAAUAUAUUGAACUGCAUUGGUCACGAGUUAAAUACGCUUUUUCUUUCACUUAUAGAUUGAUCCGCGCCGCAUUAGCUAGUUGGUAGGGUAACGGCUUACCAAGGCUACGAUGGGUAGCCGACCUGAGAGGGUGAUUGGACACACUGGAAGUGAGACACGGCAGAGACUCCGACGGGAGGACGCAGUAGGGAAUCUUACGCGAUGCGCGAAUGCUUGACGGAGGAAAGCCGCGUGAGUGAUGAAGCACUACGGAUGCUAAAAUUAUGUAAUCAGGGAAGAACAAAUGUGUAAGUACCCAUGAACGUAUUGACGGUACCUAAUCAGAAAGCCACGGCUAACUCCGUG